GCAUCCAUAGUUUAAACGGGAAAAUUACAGUCUUCCAAACUGAGGUUGAGGGUUCGAUUCCCUCUGGAUGCU
rfam:Citrobacter phage Moogle, complete genome.